AUUAAAAUUAGAACGUUCCGGAAUGUAAAA
rnacentral:other from 1 species